rnacentral:lncRNA from 1 species
AAUUAUUAGGUUUGUAUAGAACAUAUGAGCUUAUUAUUUUGAAUAUGUUUCUUGUUUUUACUAAAAAAAUGCAUUUUGGGAGAACAUCUUUUAAUUAAUGAUUUGAAUCUCAAUUUGAUAACCAUGUUUGCAACAACUAAAUUCCAUAACUUCUUAGAUAGUGGUCAGAAACUAACCUCCCCUGCAUAAUUCUAGAAGAAUUUGUAUGAAGGGACUGAAUAGUAAAUAUUUGUUAAAAACCACUAUAAUCUUACUGUACAUAUUUGUGUUUGAAAUAAGCUCCCUGUACACUCUGUUGCAAAAACAAAAAAUUGAUUUAAAGCAUACAUCAAACCAAAAAUGAAGAAUCAAAUCAAACUACAUAUUGCGUUGUCUCAACUGUUAUUAGAAUAGCUGAUACAAAAACUAUCAGUUAACAACAAAUACCUGUAUACAUUCAAN